AUUUAUAUAGUUUAAUAUUAAAACACUACACUUUCACUGUAGAAAUAAAUAAUUUAUUUUAUAAAUA
rnacentral:tRNA from 1 species